UACGGAGGGUGCAAGCGUUAUCCGGAUUUACUGGGUUUAAAGGGUGCGUAGGUGGGCGAGUAAGUCAGUGGUGAAAUCUCCGGGCUUAACCCGGAAACUGCCAUUGAUACUAUUUGUCUUGAAUACUUUGGAGGUAAGCGGAAUAUGUCAUGUAGCGGUGAAAUGCUUAGAUAUGACAUAGAACACCAAUUGCGAAGGCAGCGUACUACACAGUGAUUGACACUGAGGCACGAAAGCGUGGGGAUCAAACAGG
rnacentral:rRNA from 1 species